GCUAAUAUAGCUCAAGUGGUAGAGCACCUGACUUGUAAUCAGGAAGUUGAGAGUUCAAGUCCCUCUAUUAGCU
rnacentral:tRNA from 1 species